rnacentral:rRNA from 1 species
CCUACGGGAGGCAGCAGUGAGGAAUAUUGGUCAAUGGCCGGAAGGCUGAGCCAGCCAUGCCGCGUGAAGGUCAGUGCCCUAUGGGCGUUAAACUUCUUUUGUGCGGGAGCAAUAAUGGUCACGUGUGGCCAGACGAGAGUACCGUACGAAUAAGCAUCGGCUAACUCCGUGCCAGCAGCCGCGGUAAUACGGGGGAUGCAAGCGUUAUCCGGAUUUAUUGGGUUUAAAGGGUGCGUAGGCUGUGAGGUAAGUCAGCGGUGAAAUGCCCCCGCUCAACGGGGUGAAGUGCCAUUGAUACUGCCUGGCUGGAAUGCGGAUGCCGUGGGAGGAAUGUGUGGUGUAGCGGUGAAAUGCAUAGAUAUCACACAGAACACCGAUUGCGAAGGCAUCUCACGAAUCCGCGAUUGACGCUGAUGCACGAAAGCGUGGGUAUCAAACAGGAUUAGAUACCCCUGUAGUC